GACAGAGGGUGCAAACGUUGUUCGGAAUUACUGGGCGUAAAGCGUGUGUAGGCGGUCCACUAAGUCGGGUGUGAAAGCCCUGGGCUCAACCCAGGAAGUGCACUCGAAACUGGCGGGCUAGAGUAUCGGAGAGGUUGGUGGAAUUCCGGGUGUAGCGGUGAAAUGCGUAGAUAUCUGGAGGAACACCGGUGGCGAAGGCGGCAUCCUGGACCGGUAUUGACGCUGAUGCGCGAAAGCCAGGGGAGCAAACGGG
rnacentral:rRNA from 1 species